rnacentral:rRNA from 1 species
UAUCGACCCCUCUAGUAGCGAAGCUAACGCGUUAAGCAUCCCGCCUGUGGAGUACGGUCGCAAGACUAAAACAUAAAGGAAUUGACGGGGACCCGCACAGCGGUGGAGCGUGUUGUUUAAUUCGAUGGUAAACGAAGAACCUUACCCAGGUUUGACAUCCUUAGAAUUUCUCCGAAAGGAGAAAGUGCUUUUAGAGCUAAGUGACAGGUGCUGCAUGGCCGUCGUCAGCUCGUGUCGUGAGAUGUUUGGUUAAGUCCAUCAACGAGCGCAACCCUUAUAGUUAGUUGAAUUUUUCUAGCUAGACUGCCCUGGCACAGGGAGGAAGGAGGGGAUGAUGUCAGGUCAGUAUUGCCCUUACACCUGGGGCUACAACACGCUACAUGGCCGGUACAAAGGGCUGCCAAGUCGCGAGACGGAGCAAUCCCAUCAAAGCCGGUCCCAGUUCGGAUUGCAGGCUGAAACUCGCCUGCAUGAAGUCGGAAUCGCUAGUAACGGUAGGUCAGCUAUACUACCGUGAAUACGUUCCCGGGUCUUGUACACCCGCCCGUCAAACCAUGAAUCGCCAAUACCUGACGUGUGAGCUUGCCUCGCCCUAAGUAGGAAAU